rnacentral:rRNA from 1 species
CUACGGGGUGCUGCAGUGGGGAAUAUUGGACAAUGGGGGAAACCCUGAUCCAGCAAUGCCGCGUGUGUGAAGAAGGCCUGCGGGUUGUAAAGCACUUUCGGUUGGGAGGACUGCUUCUAGCACUAAUAUUGUUGGAAGUUGACGUUACCUUCAGAAGAAGCACCGGCUAACUCCGUGCCAGCAGCCGCGGUAAUACGGAGGGCGCAAGCUUUAAUCGGAAUUACUGGGCGUAAAGCGCGCGUAGGCGGCUAGAUCAGUCGGGUGUGAAAGCCCCGGGCUUAACCUGGGAACUGCAUCCGAUACUGUCUAGCUUGAGUACAGGAGAGGAGAGUGGAAUUCCACAUGUAGCGGUGAUAUGCGUAGAUAUGUGGAGGAACACCAAUGGCGAAGGCAGCUCUCUGGCCUGAUACUGACGCUGAGGUGCGAAAGCGUGGGGAGCAAACAGGAUUAGAUACCCUAGUAGUC